rnacentral:lncRNA from 1 species
AGCCAAAUACCAGGGUCUCCCCCUUCUUGGAGUUUAUGGGCCAAGAUGUGUGAGCAGGUUGUGCUGCGGGUAGACUCGCAGUCAGCCAGCCAGCCCACAGUGACAGCGACCAGGCGUCUAGAAGCCCCACUGGGUUGUGAAAUGAACAAGGCCCUCUGUGCCCCUGAUCAGGCCUGUGUGAGCCCCCGGGCUCCAGGAGCGAGCAUCUCCUAGCUCCUAAAGAGCUGACAUAUAUCCUGCCUUUAAGACAAGACUACAAUUGCAAAUCCGAGAAUAUAAAUUACUCUUUCAUCUUU